CCAGUAUCGUCCACUGGAUCUUCGGAUCCUGGGUCUUCUCGAAGAUCCCGCCCGCGCGAUUAGCUCAGCGGG
rnacentral:tRNA from 1 species